rnacentral:pre_miRNA from 14 species
GGUCCUUGGAGGGAGGUUGUCCAUAGUGAGUUUGCAUUAAUUAAUGAUGCCCAAUGCAGGGUCGACCUCUUUUCUGUGUC